CCCGCGACAAGCGGUGGAGCAUGUGGUUUAAUUCGAUGCAACGCGAAGAACCUUACCUGGUCUUGACAUAGUGAGAAUCCUGCAGAGAUGCGGGAGUGCCUUCGGGAACUCACAUACAGGUGCUGCAUGGCUGUCGUCAGCUCGUGUCGUGAGAUGUUGGGUUAAGUCCCGCAACGAGCGCAACCCUUUUCCUUAUUUGCCAGCGGGUUAAGCCGGGAACUUUAAGGAUACUGCCAGUGACAAACUGGAGGAAGGCGGGGACGACGUCAAGUCAUCAUGGCCCUUACGACCAGGGCUACACACGUGCUACAAUGGUCGGUACAGAGGGUUGCCAAACCGCGAGGCGGAGCCAAUCCCACAAAGCCGAUCGUAGUCCGGAUCGCAGUCUGCAACUCGACUGCGUGAAGUCGGAAUCGCUAGUAAUCGUGGAUCAGCAUGUCACGGUGAAUACGUUCCCGGGUCUU
rnacentral:rRNA from 1 species